rnacentral:rRNA from 1 species
UACGUAGGGUGCAAGCGUUAAUCGGAAUUACUGGGCGUAAAGCGUGCGCAGGCGGUUUUGUAAGUCUGAUGUGAAAGCCCCGGGCUCAACCUGGGAAUUGCGUUUAAGACUGGUGAGCUAGAGUACGAGAGAGGAAAGUGGAAUUCCUAGUGUAGAGGUGAAAUUCGUAGAUAUUAGGAAGAACACCGGUGGCGAAGGCGACUUUCUGGCUCGUAACUGACGCUGAGGCGCGAAAGCGUGGGGAGCAAACAGGAUUAGAAACCCUUGUAGU